UGGACAGAUUAUUGUAUUCGACUAUAUUCACGACAUGAACAGGGGUUACACUGUUUUUAAACAGAAAGUGAAUCAAUUAACAUAAUAGACUCCU
rnacentral:pre_miRNA from 1 species